UAAGAUUUUUAAAUUGUGCUUUGAAGUGUCACACCAGGUUGGAUGCCGGUUAUUUUCAGUGAAUAACAUCCUAAAUAUUGUUGCCUUUUUGGAGCUUGACAGUAAUAUUCUUCUGAAUGACUCAUUUUAUGUUCCAUGGUAAAAUUAUAACAGCAUAUGGGUUUGGAAUGAAGUGAGGGAUGAUUUGUGACCUGGGCAUGUUUUUAUGAGAUUCACGACCUCAUUAAUGGGUUUCGAUCAGUUACAACUGUGUUUCCUAUAAAAUGAG